AUUUUAGUGUAACUAUACCCCAUGCAAUGUUUGGGACAUAUUUACAUUAUUU
rnacentral:miRNA from 1 species